rnacentral:lncRNA from 10 species
AGCUGUCGACUGGGCUCAGAGGAAUGAGGUCGGCUGGUAGCUCAGCUGCUGGUAGCUCAGCUGGGGCUCUUAUGGGUCCAGGCCGACUGACUGACUCACGUGUACUCAAAUUUCGCAGGGGUGAAAUUUGAGGUCAUAUCCCGGGAGAGAGGAAGAAGGGUCGUGAGUCACCGAACCCGAAGGAGAGGAAAAGAUGUGGAGGCAGCGGUCUAUGGCCUCUUCCAGCUCCGGACGGGGGAUGGGGACGCUCUGGGCAAUACGGGCCUCAGUUAUUGUCCCACUGUCCUUUCAACCCUUAACCAACCCAGUUGGAGGCCGCCUGGAAGAAUGUAGCCUUGGAACUAGGGCCUGGAAUUGGGGCUCCUACCGGUUGUGUGGGCUUGGGUUGUGACAAGGAACAGUGGGCUGGCUCAAGUUUUAUGGAGCGUAACCAAAUAACAUCCUUUGAAGGCUGAUCAGCACCGGACCAGAAAUCAUUGCAUGAGCUCUAUCUGUCAGAGACCCCUGAAACCCAUUCCCCAUUCUGAAGGUGUAGACAUCACAGAGUGUGGACAGAAAUAGCUUCUCA